UACAGAGGUCUCAAGCGUUGUUCGGAUUCAUUGGGCGUAAAGGGUGUGUAGGUGGCGCGCUAAGUCGGGUGUGAAAUUUCGGAGCUUAACUCCGAAACUGCAUUCGAUACUGGCGUGCUUGAGGACUGGAGAGGAGACUGGAAUUUACGGUGUAGCAGUGAAAUGCGUAGAUAUCGUAAGGAAGACCAGUGGCGAAGGCGAGUCUCUGGACAGCAACGUGACGCUGAGGCACGAAGGCCCAGGGGAGCAAACGGG
rnacentral:rRNA from 1 species